GACGAACCUUGCUAACGUUAUUCGGAAUUACUGGGCUUAAAGGGUGCGUAGGCGGUGCGGAAAGUUGGGUGUGAAAUCCCUCGGCUCAACCGAGGAAUUGCGCCCAAAACUGCCGCACUAGAGGAAGACAGAGGUACGCGGAACUUAGGGUGGAGCGGUGAAAUGCGUUGAUAUCCUAAGGAACACCGGUGGCGAAAGCGGCGUACUGGGUCUUAUCUGACGCUGAGGCACGGAAAGCUAGGGGAGCGAACGGG
rnacentral:rRNA from 1 species